rnacentral:rRNA from 1 species
GUAGCAAUACGUCAGCGGCAGACGGGAGAGUAACACGUGGGAACGCGCCCUUCGGUUCGGAAUAACUCAGGGAAACUUGAGCUAAUACCGGAUACGCCCUAACGGGGAAAGAUUUAUCGCCGAAGGAACGGCCCGCGUCGGAUUAGCUAGUUGGUGAGGUAAUGGCUCACCAAGGCGACGAUCCGUAGCUGGUCUGAGAGGAUGACCAGCCUCACUGGGACUGAGACACGGCCCAGACUCCUACGGGAGGCAGCAGUGGGGAAUAUUGGACAAUGGUCGCAAGACUGAUCCAGCCAUGCCGCGUGAAGGAUGACGGCCCUAUGGGUUGUAAACUUCUUUUGUAUGGGAAAAAACCCCUCUACGUGUAGAGGGCUGAGGUACCAUAAGAUAAGGUCGGCAA